rnacentral:rRNA from 1 species
CUACGAAGGGGGCUAGCGUUGUUCGGAAUUACUGGGCGUAAAGCGCACGUAGGCGGACUGGAAAGUUGGGGGUGAAAUCCCGGGGCUCAACCCCGGAACUGCCUCCAAAACUUCCAAUCUAGAGAUCGAGAGAGGUGAGUGGAAUUCCAAGUGUAGAGGUGAAAUUCGUAGAUAUUUGGAGGAACACCAGUGGCGAAGGCGGCUCACUGGCUCGAUACUGACGCUGAGGUGCGAAAGCGUGGGGAGCAAACAGGAUUAGAAACCCCAGUAGUCC